UGAGGAAUAUUGGUCAAUGGGCGAGAGCCUGAACCAGCCAAGUCGCGUGAAGGAAGACUGUCCUAUGGAUUGUAAACUUCUUUUGUAAGGGAAUAAAAAAGGCCACGUGUGGCUUCUUGUAUGUACUUUACGAAUAAGGAUCGGCUAACUCCGUGCCAGCAGCCGCGGUAAUACGGAGGAUCCGAGCGUUAUCCGGAUUUAUUGGGUUUAAAGGGUGCGUAGGCGGACCCGUAAGUCAGUGGUGAAAGUUUGCAGCUUAACUGUAAAAUUGCCAUUGAAACUAUGGGUCUUGAGUGUAAAUGAGGUAGGCGGAAUGUGUUGUGUAGCGGUGAAAUGCUUAGAUAUAACACAGAACACCAAUUGCGAAGGCAGCUUACUGGGAUACAACUGACGCUGAGGCACGAAAGCGUGGGGAUCAAACAGG
rnacentral:rRNA from 2 species